AUUAGCAGGCAAGGUGCUCUAUAGUUUAUAACAGUGGUUCCCAAAGUGGGAGUCGCAAGAUGAUUUCCAAAAAAAUAAGGAUAUAAUUGAAAUUAAAAUUACAUUGAGUAGCAUCAUGACAUAAAUAAGGAUGUAUGCUCAUAUUUUUUAAGAAAAGUAUUUCCCAGAAUAUAGUACUCCACAAAAACAUAUCUGGACACGAACCUUUUAAUACCAUACAUUUGUCGUCCGAUAUGGACGAUGCACUUAUCAAACUCUCAUGUAACCAAACAAUAAAAACAGAUUUAGAUUCUAAAACACUCGACGAAUUCUGUCAAUUUCUGGGGGUUUCCCAGCAAAAAUUCAUGAUACUUUGUGACAAUGCUGCCAAUAUAAAAGAGGCAUUUACAGGUUCAGGGCUUAAUAGUUUUGUUUGUCUGGCUCAUACUUUUCAGGUACAAAAAGUCAAAAUAGUAUAAAUAUGCAAAUAGAUUUGUUGUCUUAAACAAAAUAAACGACAAAAAAUAUUUUUAAUGGACUUCAUUCAGAACCUAUUAUCGCGCUGCCGACGUUUAGUUGGCCAUUUCAAGCAUUCACCUUUAGCACCAUCGAAUCUGCACGAAAUACAAGGAAGACUGAAUAUCUCCAAACACAUGCUCUUGCAAGAUGUCCCAACUCGAUGGGACUCUGCACUUAAUAUGAUGGAACGACUGCAAGAACAGAAGCAAGCAUUGAUCACCUAUGAGACUGAGUCAAUUUUGAUAUAAUUCUCGGCCUAUCAAUGGAGAUUAAUGUCUAGGGUGAUUUAAUGUCUUGGCUAUUUUCAAAGAAGCCACUCUUUUAAUUAGCGAUUCGAAGUCUAUGAUAUCCGGGGUUUUGCUAACCAUCAGAGGCUCAAGAAAUAUAUUCAGUCGUUAUGCGAAACCGAUGAUACAGGAGUCCAGACUCUUAAGCAAAAUUAAUCCACUCCAUCAACAAACGAUUUGAGGAACACUUCGAACAUGAGAAACUCCCCCUUUCUACUGCUGCAGAUCCAAGGUUCAAAGCUCAUGGUUUCCAGAUAAUUCAAGUCGGGAGAAGGCUAAGGAUCUUUUAUGUCAUCGUAUCAAAAACAUCAUGGAAGAGAGGGCCUUUGCAGCUUCCAAUCACAAAGCAACAAAUAGAGAAGAGAUUUGUGUCCCCUUUCAUAUUGGCAGGAAAAUAGCAAAGUUCACCCUGAAGUUUUUGAAAUAGCUAAAAUAGUAUCUGGUUGUCCUUCUGGGUCAGUUGACUAAGAAAGAUUAUUUCCAACUGCAGGCCACAUAAUAAAUGUUAGGCACACUCUUCUUAGCCCAGAAAAUGCGGAAGACCAAAUUUUUCUUUCUAAGAAUCUCCCAUUCUUCAACUAUAACUCUUAAGGACUAUUAAUAUUGAACUUUUUAUUAUAGAUUAUUUAUGGUAUGAUUCACUUGAACGAGCUCUGAUCUCAUUGUUUGCGUCAGCCGAGUGAACAGGCCCCUUGGCCUGUGCAUUUACAUGCUAUCUUAGAGAACCAAACAUGGACGCACGCAUAUAGUGUAAGUGCGUGGCUGUGUACAACAUUAUGUACCACUUCCAGUGUGGUUGGAGGUCGCCGGUCUCUGGCACCGUUAUUUUGGGGGUCGCAGGCUGAAAAGUUUGGGAAUCCCCUUAUUUAUGUAAAGGCUACUUAUUAAAAUUUAUUUAAAUAUAUUAUAUAUUCAUUCAAAACUAAAAAAAUGUUUUAUCAAUUGUUAGCAAAAUAUAUACUUAAAUUCCCUUAA
rnacentral:lncRNA from 1 species